CAAGAUAUCACAAUAUCAACCGGCGAAGCUAUCUUCAAGUCACGUCUACGUAUUGGACACCAGGACUUCAGGAGAUGCAAAAUCGUACUUACCUACCUACGUACGCGCAUCAAGUGUGUCGAGUGUUCAACAGCAGAGUGUCGUUGCUAAUACCUGCUGCUUUCGCAGAUCACUACGAACACUAAAACUUGCUGCUGUUCCGCCGCGAGCACGCGCAACUGCUGCACGCGGCUCCGCAGGCGCUGCUGUUCGCGCUGCGCGAGCGCUGGUGGCCGGUAAGGGGGCGUGAUCUCGCAAAAAAGGUAAUACGUCAAUGUAUUAUUUGUACACGCUUAAGAGGUAAAACCGUAAACCCGAUUAUGGGACACUUACCUAUGGAGCGAAUCACGCCAACUUACCCGUUCAUGCGAUGCGGGGUAGACUAUGCAGGCCCGGUGCUCGUACUGAAUCGCAAAGGCAGAGGUGCUAAAACUGUAAAGUCGUACAUUUGUUUGUUUAUUUGUUUCGUUACACGCGCGAUACACUUGGAACUUGUCAGCGAUCUGACAUCUGACGCAUAUUUUCUAGCCCUGAAACGAUUUAUCUCGCGUCGUGGCAGGCCGGAAGUAAUCUUUUCAGACAACGGUAGGAAUUUUGUAGGUUUGAUGAAUGAAUUUAAGAAAUUUUUAACGAAUUGCUCAUCCGAUAUUAUCGAGUAUGCUAGCAGCCAACAGAUUAAAUUUAAAUUCAUACCUCCAUACUCUCCUCAUUUUGGUGGUCUGUGGGAAGCAGGAGUAAAAUCUUGCAAAUAUCACCUUAACCGUGUAUUAGGCAACGCGCACCUAAAUUUCGAAGAGCUAUGCACAUUAUUAACGCAGGUGGAAGCUGUCCUUAACUCCCGUCCACUGAGUCCCCUAUCCACAGAUCCGCACGAUCUUCAGCCUCUCUCUCCUGCUCACUUCCUGGUUGGUCGUCCGCUCGUUGCACCUGUAAGCGCCGACAUGCAAGAUACGCCGGUGCAUCGACUUACUCGAUAUCAACGUGUUGAACAACUGCGCCAGCAUUUUUGGUCACGUUGGACCAAAGAGUACAUCUCGGAGAUGCAGACGAGGAUCAAGUGGAAGGAGAACACGGUCGACUUGCGACCAGACACGCUGGUUAUCGUCAAGGAUGACAACUUGCCUCCACUGAAAUGGCAACUGGGACGCGUUAAGAACACGAUUCAUGGAAAGGAUGGCAUCGUGAGAGUUGCUGACAUCCAAACAACAUCCGGAGUCAUCAGGCGCGCUGUAACCAAGAUCUGUCCUUUACUAUGGGAUCAGCCAGAGAUGGAUCCUGCUAGUCUUUCGUAAGCUGGUGCUUCCAAGGCCGGGGGCAUGUUUGGACACCCACAGCGCCAUCUACGCAACUCAUUAUGAGAAGUGGCGGCCAUAUACCUUCUCCCUGCUACAAUUUCUUCGCUCAACGUCUUAACGCUCGAGACCAACAACCAAUCAGGAACGUUCCUCGUCCGCGAUCAAUUUUGCGCACCAAUCCGCGGGUGCUAGCAUUGUAUAAUU